rnacentral:rRNA from 1 species
GCUUAUGGCUAUGCAACACUGAACAAGCCCAAUCUCAUCUGAUCUCAAAAGCUAAGCAAAGUCAGGCCUGAUAGAAUUCAUAUGGAAGGCUGUCUGGGAGUGCCAGGUGAUGUAGGCC